rnacentral:misc_RNA from 1 species
UCUCCGUUGGUGAACCAGCGGAGGGAUCAUUACAGAGUUUUCACAACUCCCAACCCUUGCGAACCGUACCCAUUCUGUUCUCGUUGCUUCCGGCGGGGGGGACGGGGGGGCCCGAAACGGCCUCCCCGCCCCGCCCGCCGGGGGCGGCGGGCCCUACGAACCUUUUUAUCUUAACCCCGAGAAACCGCUUGCGAAAAAAAAACAAAUAACCAAAACUUUCAACAAAGGAUCUAUUGGGCGUGGCAUCGAUGCACAACGAAGCAGAUCGGCAGUGAACAC